rnacentral:rRNA from 1 species
GACAGAGGUGCCGAGCGUUAGGCGGAAUCACUGGGCUUAAAGCGUGUGUAGGUGGAUGCCUAAGUACCUUGUGAAAUCCCACGGCUUAACCGUGGAACUGCUCGGUAUACUGGGUGUCUUGAGCCAGCUAGGGGCUACCGGAACAAAUGGUGGAGCGGUGAAAUGCGUAGAUAUCAUUUGGAACGCCAAUGGUGAAAACAGGUAGCUGGGGCUGUGCUGAUACUGAGACACGAAAGCCAGGGGAGCGAACGGG